rnacentral:rRNA from 1 species
UACGUAGGGUGCGAGCGUUGUUCGGAAUUACUGGGCGUAAAGGGUUCGUAGGCGGCCAACUAAGUCAGACGUGAAAUCCCUCGGCUUAACCGGGGAACUGCGUCUGAUACUGGAUGGCUUGAGUUUGGGAGAGGGAUGCGGAAUUCCAGGUGUAGCGGUGAAAUGCGUAGAUAUCUGGAGGAACACCGGUGGCGAAGGCGGCAUCCUGGACCAACACUGACGCUGAGGAGCGAAAGCCAGGGGAGCAAACGGG